AACGAACGCUGGCGGCAUGCCUAACACAUGCAAGUCGAACGAGACCUUCGGGUCUAGUGGCGCACGGGUGCGUAACGCGUGGGAACCUGCCCUUAGGUUCGGAAUAACUCCCCGAAAGGGGUGCUAAUACCGGAUAAUGUCUUCGGACCAAAGAUUUAUCGCCUUUGGAUGGGCCCGCGUUGGAUUAGCUAGUUGGUAGGGUAAAAGCCUACCAAGGCGACGAUCCAUAGCUGGUCUGAGAGGAUGAUCAGCCACACUGGGACUGAGACACGGCCCAGAAUCCUACGGGAGGCAGCAGGGGGGAAUAUUGGACAAUGGGCGAAAGCCUGAUCCAGCAAUGCCGCGUGAGUGAUGAAGGCCUUAGGGUUGUAAAGCUCUUUUACCCGGGAUGAUAAUGACAGUACCGGGAGAAUAAGCUCCGGCUAACUCCGUG
rnacentral:rRNA from 1 species